rnacentral:lncRNA from 1 species
UUUUUUUUUUUUUUUUUUUUGAGAGAUAGGUAGCACGCUACCCACUUCGUUUAUUUCAUUUAGAAAUAAAUUUAGCUAGAAAUGUGAAGUAACUAGAAUUCGAACUUGGGACCUCGGAUACCAACCACCAAACACUUUGCCAUUUGCUCUAGGGACGGUCGGUGUUAAAAGUGAAAAUAUUAAACUGAUUUUCUAAGGAGUUGAGGUGAGUGUCACAAUUAUAUAUAGAUCACUCGCUACCCAAGCUAUCAAAUGGAAAGACGCCAAGUGGCACAAAACUACAAGUCAAAAAUGAUGGUUACCAGCUUCCAAGAGACUGCACUUAUUAUCCUCUUAGAAACUCUAAGAAAUUCUUCUUGACUCUUAGGCACCCACAUCCUCAGUCUCGAUAUCUAUAGAGAUGCUUCUAAAAGACCUUAGCAAAAUUUCUGACAGUACUAUUCUUC